UCCAGAGGCACGGCCCAAGCCCGCACCUUUCCCCUCCUCUCCCAAGGAAAUCUCCAAGCCCUAGUGCCUUCCCCGUCAUGGCGGCCGGACCACAGCGCUCCUCCCCUCCUCCGCCGCCACCCAUGCCGCCUGGACGCCGCCACCGCGACGACCAACCAGAGCGCUGCGUUGAAGACUCUGACUCCAAACGCCCCGAGGAAGAUCAACAAACAGCCACUCCAAACCCUGGACCAUCCCCAGCGCAAUACACCGAUGAAGAUCAGCCUGCCUGCACCUCAACAAACGCCCACUUCUAACCCUGGACCCUCCCCAGCGCAUGAUUUGCAGCUGGCUCAAAGGUGUGAGGUGACAGACAUCUUGGAAGAAUUGGAGCUCAACGCUACUCCCUCGUUGUCUUCAUGCGUUUCUUCUUUGACGCCUACUGGUUUACUUAUUAAAUAUAUUGUCAGAGUUGAUAAGGAGGAUUUUUUUUCAUAUAUAUCCUGAUCGAGGUGGACCAUUUCAGAGUUUACAGGAAGCUCAGCAAGCUAUUGACUCGUAUCAUGUUGUCGGGCGAAAAAACUUGUAAAGCCUAUCAAUUUCCUUAUAUUAGAUUUCUAUUUCUGUC